CUACGGGGUGCUCCAGUGAGGAAUAUUGCACAAUGGGGGGAACCCUGAUGCAGCAACGCCGCGUGGAGGAUGACGCAUUUCGGUGUGUAAACUCCUUUUAUAUGUCAAGAAAAUGACGGUAGCAUAUGAAUAAGCACCGGCUAACUCCGUGCCAGCGGCCGCGGUAAUACGGAGGGUGCAAGCGUUACUCGGAAUCACUGGGCGUAAAGGACGCGUAGGCGGGUUGGAAAGUCAGGUGUGAAAUCCUACAGCUUAACUGUAGAACUGCACUUGAAACUUCUAAUCUAGAGUAUGGGAGGGGGAGGUGGAAUUAGUGGUGUAGGGGUAAAAUCCGUAGAUAUCACUAGGAAUACCUAAAGCGAAGGCGAUCUCCUGGAACAUUACUGACGCUAAGGCGUGAGAGCGUGGGGAGCAAACAGGAUUAGAUACCCCCGUAGUC
rnacentral:rRNA from 1 species